rnacentral:rRNA from 1 species
AUGUCGUCGGCGGCCACGAAGCUCGCCAACGCGGCCGACGCUACCUCGGCGGAGGCCCAAACCCUCGUCCUGGACAUGCGCAAGGCGCUCACCUCCAUGAAGUCCCUCGCCGUGGAGUACGAGAGGGCCGGCAAGCCCGACAAGGUGAAGCAGCUCGAGGAUGCGGUGCAGGAGCUGGUGGCCUCGUACGAGGACUGCGCGUACCUCGCCGAGGCGGUCAAGAAGGUGCCCGGGGCGUACCAGCCGUCCGACCAGGCCACUGAUUUCAGAAAGCUGAUCGAUGCGGAGGUUGACAAGGUCAAGGGGACCUCGCGAUCGUCGGGACACAAGGACCAGCUCAUACGGCAGUUCAAAGAGGCUGUUUGGGACGUUCACCAUGCAGGUCAACCGAUGCCUGGUGACGAACAAGAGGAACUUGUUAUGACCAGCACCCAGAACAGCAUCCUAAAUAUGCAUUGCCCAUUAACCUUGAAGCCUAUCAUUGAGUUGGAAAAUCCAGUUCGCUGCAUGGAUUGCAGGCACAUAUAUGACAAGGAUCCAAUAAUGAGCCACAUCCGGAGGAGCAAAGCUCCGAAUUGCCCCGUUGCAGGCUGCCCGGCGGUGCUACAAGUGGCGAGGAUCUUCUGCGACACCUUCCUGCGUAUGGAAAUCGAGGAGCUACGCUCGUCGAGGCCGUCCGCUCCGAACGCCACGGAGGUAGAGGAUAUCUCGGACCAAGGGGAGGACGAGGCCGAGGACCUGAUGGACGAUGACGAGGACGAGUGA